rnacentral:lncRNA from 1 species
AUUGAACCAAAGCUGCAAGAUACGGUGGACUGGAAGGAGACUACUUGAGCAAAAAGAACACCAAAGAAGUCAAGACUCAGCAAGACCAGGCAAAAUUGGCCUUUCUUUGUGUCUUUGCUCUAUUCCCGUUACACGACAAUGAGCAAAGAGGGGCAGCUGUUGUAGGCCAAUUUUGGCCUGUUACAAUCAAACCUAAAUAGCCCAAUAGACCCUAAAUUACCCAUUACCCAGUUACAAGCCCAGCAUACUAAAACCCUAAGCCCAAAAAUGUUUAACACUUUCAGAGGAACCCUAGGGUUUCCUCCCCUUCAGCCACCCCACUUUCCUUUGACACUAGCACCAUCUCUGGUCACCACCAUGUCGGCUACCACGCCCCAUGCUUCUGCCAACACCAUCCCCGCAUGCCUGGCACCUCCAUACCCUGCAAAACCAGAAAAGAGACAAGACAACAAAUAUUAAACAAAAUAUUGUAAAGACUAUAAAAGCCGAUUUGGAUUUUUGUAAAAGGGGUUCGGCUUCCUUUCUUUUUUUUUUCAUUUUUGAUAUUCAUUUGAAUGUUCAAGAGAAGUCAAUAACCAAGUUAGAGUAAAAUACAUAUACAAGCAGUGACUCUGACACUGAAAUCAGAGGAUCAAAGUUGUCAAAAAAAUCAAAAACUAUUAAACAUAAGGUAAUCUUUUUAUUUUUUUAUUUUUAGUUUCGUUCUCUAAGCUUAUUUUCCACACAUAAAUACUAAAAUAUAUAAAACAAAUAUAAAACAAAUAUUUAAAAAAAAAUUUACCUUUUUCGGCCGGCGAGGGUCCGGUGACGGACCGGUGAUCGGCCCCCUAGCUGGAGCUCCAUCUCCUUCUCCCAUUCUCUCUUCUUUCUCUCCCCUUUUUUUUCUUUUCUCUUCAUCAAAUGUUUUUUUUGUCAAAUUAGGGCCUUAUAUAGCCCACCAAAACGACGUCGUUUUGGGGGCUGCUCAUUAGCCCCAAAACAACGUCGUUUUGAACAUGACCCGAACCGUCCGACCCGACCCGCCUCAGGAUCCACGUGUUUUUGUUUGAAUGGGCUAUUUAUGCGCGCAGUCCUUCCGCUUUUCUGGGGCUUUACAAUCAAGUUUUCUUAUUUUUAAUUUGGCCCCAUAAUUUUCAGUGUUUUUCAAUUGGGUCCCCUGUACUGCACAACGUUUUGACUAAGGGAUUUAUUGCGCUUUUGACCCUCCAAGUUACGCGCAUGUUAUAAUUUCGUCCUUUUCUUUAGUUUUUAUUUCAAAUUGGCCCCAAA